rnacentral:rRNA from 1 species
CGCCCAGACUCCUAGGGAGGCAGCAGUGGGGGAUAUUGCACAAUGGAGGGAACUCUGAUGCAGCGACGCCGCGUGAGGGAAGAAGGUUUUCGGAUUGUAAACCUCUGUCUUCGGUGACGAAACGAGACGGUAGCCGAGGAGGAAGCCACGGCUAACUACGUGCCAGCAGCCGCGGUAAUACGUAGGAUCCGAGCAUUAUCCGGAGUGACUGGGUGUAAAGAGUUGCGUAGGUGGCAUAAUAAGUAGCUAGUGAAAUCUGGUGGCUCAACCAUUCAGACUAUUAGCUAAACUGUUAAGCUCGAGACCGUUAGGGGUAACUGGAAUUUCUAGUGUAGGAGUGAAAUCCGUAGAUAUUAGAAGGAACACCAAUAGCGUAGGCAGGUUGCUGGGACGGUUCUGACACUAAGGCACGAAAGCGUAGGGAGCAAACGGGAUUAGAUACCCCAGUAAAC